GUGUCAGCAGCCGCGGUAAUACAGAGGGUGCAAGCGUUAAUCGGAAUUACUGGGCGUAAAGCGCGCGUAGGUGGUUCAGUAAGAUGGAAGUGAAAUCCCCGGGCUCAACCUGGGAACUGCUUUCAUAACUGCUGAGCUAGAGUACGGUAGAGGGUAGUGGAAUUUCCUGUGUAGCGGUGAAAUGCGUAGAUAUAGGAAGGAACACCAGUGGCGAAGGCGACUACCUGGACUGAUACUGACACUGAGGUGCGAAAGCGUGGGGAGCAAACAGGAUUAGAUACCCCUGUAGUCC
rnacentral:rRNA from 1 species